rnacentral:rRNA from 1 species
ACGGAAGGCAGCAGUGGGGAAUAUUGCACAAUGGGGGAAACCCUGAUGCAGCGACGCCGCGUGAAGGAUGAAGUAUUUCGGUAUGUAAACUUCUAUCAGCAGGGAAGAAAAUGACGGUACCUGACUAAGAAGCCCCGGCUAACUACGUGCCAGCAGCCGCGGUAAUACGUAGGGGGCAGGCGUUAUCCGGAUUUACUGGGUGUAAAGGGAGCGUAGACGGUAUGGCAAGUCUGAAGUGAAAGCCCGGGGCCCAACCCCGGGACUGCUUUGGAAACUGUUAAACUAGAGUGUCGGAGAGGCAAGUGGAAUUCCUAGUGUAGCGGUGAAAUGCGUAGAUAUUAGGAGGAACACCAGUGGCGAAGGCGGCUUGCUGGACGAUGACUGACGUUGAGGCUCGAAAGCGUGGGGAGCAAACAGGAUUAGAUACCCUGGUA